AACCUUUACACUGCACGACAGUGCGAUAGGGGGACUCCGAGUGCGAGGGCAUAUAGUCCUCGCUUUUCUGUACCGUAAGGUGGUACAGGAACAAGGACUGGGCAAGACCGGUGCCAGCCGCCGCGGUAAUACCGGCAGCUCGAGUGAUGGCCGAUCUUAUUGGGCCUAAAGCGUCCGUAGCUGGCCGCACAAGUCCAUCGGAAAAUCCACCCGCUCAACGGGUGGGCGUCCGGUGGAAACUGUGUGGCUUGGGACCGGAAGGCGCGACGGGUACGUCCGGGGUAGGAGUGAAAUCCCGUAAUCCUGGACGGACCGCCGAUGGCGAAAGCACGUCGCGAGAACGGAUCCGACAGUGAGGGACGAAAGCUAGGGUCUCGAACCGGAUUAGAUACCCGGGUAGUCCUAGCCGUAAACAAUGCCUGCUAGGUGUGGCUCCCACUACGAGUGGGUGCUGUGCCGUAGGGAAGCCGCUAAGCAGGCCGCCUGGGAAGUACGUCCGCAAGGAUGAAACUUAA
rnacentral:rRNA from 1 species